UGAAGUAGAGCUUGUGUAAGUGUCUUAUUUACAUUAAGAAGAAAUAAUUAUUAUUAUUGCUUUAA
rnacentral:tRNA from 1 species